UCCUUUUUCCAAAGUAUCCCUUAAACCUUAUUCCAACCCACUGACAUGAUUUCCUUACUUUUCUUCUCUUCAUCCUGCUAGCUUCCAUAAAGGCAUCGCCAGAGCUGUAUUCGACUACCUAAAUCUCUCCGAUUGUAGCGGGUGAACUUUCCUGAGAAAAUCUCACAGCAAGUAAUUCAACUACUUCCAAGUAUGAACUUCCCGCUUCAAGAAGAUGUUAACAUCAGCUGUCUUUUUUAUCAUUUGCAGGAAUAUCACCAUGGUGUGCUGCUGUCUGCCAAUCGUACCAAAAGCGUAGCAUGGGAUUUAACUCAGCUGUAAAUUCUGCCCCAC